UCCCUGGUGGUCCAGCAGUUAGGACUCUGCACUUCUACUGCUGGGGCACAGGUUUGAUUCCUGGUCAUGGAA
rnacentral:tRNA from 1 species